UACGGAAGGCAGCAGUAGGGAAUCUUCCGCAAUGGACGAAAGUCUGACGGAGCAACGCCGCGUGAACGAUGAAGGCUUUCGGGUCGUAAAGUUCUGUUGUUAGGGAGACAAGUACCAGAGUAACUGCUGGUACCUUGACGGUACCUAACCAGAAAGCCACGGCUAACUACGUGCCAGCAGCCGCGGUAAUACGUAGGUGGCAAGCGUUGUCCGGAAUUAUUGGGCGUAAAAGCGCGCGCAGGUGGUCCUUUUAAGUCUGAUGUGAAAGCCCACGGCUCAACCGUGGAGGGUCAUUGGAAACUGGGGACUUGAGUGCAGAAGAGGAAAGUGGAAUUCCACGUGUAGCGGUGAAAUGCGUAGAGAUGUGGAGGAACACCAGUGGCGAAAGGCGACUUUUCUGGUCUGUAAACUGACACUGAGGCGCGAAAGCGUGGGGAGCGAAACAGGGAUUAGAUACC
rnacentral:rRNA from 1 species